rnacentral:rRNA from 1 species
UACGUAGGGACCAAGCGUUGUUCGGAUUUACUGGGCGUAAAGGGCGCGUAGGCGGCAUAUUAAGUCAGCUGUGAAAUCUCCGAGCUUAACUCGGAACUGUCAGCUGAUACUGAUGUGCUAGAGUGCAGAAAGGGCAAUCAGAAUUCUUGGUGUAGCGGUGAAAUGCGUAGAUAUCAAGAGGAAUACCUGAGGCGAAGGCGGGUUGCUAGGCUGACACUGACGCUGAGGCGCGAAAGCCAGGGGAGCAAACGGG